GACGAACGCUGGCGGCGCGCCUUACGCAUGCAAGUCGAACGGACCUUCGGGUCAGUGGCGGACGGCUGAGUAACGCGUAGGUAAUCUGCCCUGUGGUGGGGGAGUAACUCGCUGAAAGGCGGGCUAAUACCGCAUAAGUCCCCGUGGUGAAUUCCGCGGGAGGAAAGCAGCAAUGCACCACUGGAGGAACCUGCGUCUUAUCAGGUAGUUGGUGGGGUAACGGCCUACCAAGCCGAUGACGGGUAGCUGGUCUGAGAGGACGACCAGCCAGAAGGGGACUGAGACACGGCCCCUACUCCUACGGGAGGCAGCAGCGAGGAAUCUUGGGCAAUGGGCGAAAGCCUGACCCAGCGACGCCGCGUGAGGGAUGAAGGCCUCGGUCGUAACC
rnacentral:rRNA from 1 species